rnacentral:rRNA from 1 species
GACAGAGGGUGCAAACGUUGUUCGGAAUUACUGGGCGUAAAGCGCGUGUAGGCGGCUAAGUGUGUCGGGCGUGAAAUCCCACGGCUCAACCGUGGAAGUGCACCCGAAACUACGUAGCUAGAGUCCUGGAGAGGAAGGUGGAAUGCUUGGUGUAGAGGUGAAAUUCGUAGAUAUUCGGAAGAACACCAGUGGCGAAGGCGACUUACUGGACAGAUAUUGACGCUGAGGUGCGAAAGCGUGGGGAGCAAACAGG